rnacentral:rRNA from 1 species
GACGAACGCUGGCGGCGUGCCUAAUACAUGCAAGUCGAGCGAACAGAGAAGGAGCUUGCUCCUUUGACGUUAGCGGCGGACGGGUGAGUAACACGUGGGCAACCUACCUUAUAGUUUGGGAUAACUCCGGGAAACCGGGGCUAAUACCGAAUAAUCUAUUUCACCUCAUGGUCCGAUGUUGAAAGACGGUUUCGGCUGUCACUACAGGAUGGGCCCGCGGCGCAUUAGCUAGUUGGUGAGGUAACGGCUCACCAAGGCCACGAUGCGUAGCCGACCUGAGAGGGUGAUCGGCCACACUGGGACUGAGACACGGCCCAGACUCCUACGGGAGGCAGCAGUAGGGAAUCUUCCACAAUGGACGAAAGUCUGAUGGAGCAACGCCGCGUGAGUGAAGAAGGUUCUCGGAUCGUAAAACUCUGUUGUGAGGGAAGAACAAGUACCGGAGUAACUGCCGGUGCCUUGACGGUACCUCAUUAGAAAGCCACGGCUAACUACGUGCCAGCCGCCGCGGUAA